ACAGAAACACAGAGUCACUCUCACCAAAUGCAAAUGCAUCAAUAAUGUAUGGUUUAAUAUUCGAAUUCCAAUUUCGAAAUCUGAGGCUCUCAUAACAAUCCUCAUUUUCUACAAAAACAAAAAUCAAAUGGAGGAAUCCUCAGACAACAAAAACAACAACAACAACUACGUUGGCGAUAGUACCACUGACGACGAGAGCACUUGUGUCGCUAUCCAAAACCAAAACGACAAUCAAAAUUCACAAGCUGAAUCGGAGGCUGUGGCGAAGGGAAUAUCUUCGACGCUGGGCACUGUGAUUAGCGACUUCGAUUCCAGAGCUCAAGCCACUCUCACAAGCCAGGACCAACUCUCUUCCUCCAUCGAUCGUCUUACCCGAGAACUUGAUCAAUUGUUAGAAGAUGCACCCUUGCCAUUCAUUAUGCAGCAUGCUGCCAAGAUUUCUGGUGUUAGAAAGAGAGUCUCAUCAUUGAAUUCAGUUUUAAAAUCCAUACAGCGUCGAGUUGAUAAUAUAGAUCGAAUGCUAUCUGCGGGCAUGCUACACGAGAAGAUGGCCUCUGAAAGUGCUGGACAACAUUAGCGUUGGUUGCUUGGAAUCUUUAUGUAUGUACUAUGAGGUGAGCACCAUACUGUGGUUGGAGAGUUAUAACAGGGGUAGGAGCAUGACGAUAGGAUGGGGAGAGCUCAAAUGAGAAGCGUUGUAGAAUUGUUGUCAGAACCAUCUUUUCUUCCAUCAUUGCAAAGUUUUGUCCAAUGCAUAUCCGGGGACCCCAACCAAAGGGGAAGAAAGAAACUCGACUCUUUGUUGCCUUUGAAAUUCCUUCUGAAAACCUCUCUGGCCUGAACUCCGAUUCAUCAUCUCCCCAAAGUUCAUGGUCCUGGUGAACGAGGACUGUUGGUAAGCAAAGCAUUACUCCAGCUGGUAAUGACAAAUUGCCAAGUUUUGUUGUGAAUACUUCGAGCAAGCAUAACUAUUGCCGGUGCCAAAAACUUGGAAAACUUCUUCUCUCUCCUGCACUUGCCAAUUUGGACAUCUACUUAAUAAGAUCAUCGUCCAAACAAGCAAAACAGAAGUAGUCUCUUGGCCAAUUUGGAUUUCUCUUUUGUGGUGGGGGAUGGCUCUCGUAUUCUUUUUUGGCAUGAUAAGUGAACUGGGGAUGUUCCUCUUAAAAUUCUUUAUCCUUAGUUAUUUUUGUGUCCAGCCAAUAAGGAGGCUUGUAUUUCUGAAGUGUUAAGCCCUCUAGUGGGUGAUAAUGACAGAGUGUGGAGUUUAAGAUUUUAUAGGGAAUUCAAUGAUUUGGGAGUUAGCGGCUUCCUACUCCCUACUUCAUUUCAUCCAAAUCCGAAUUCCUAGAGGUGGAGGGUGUGAUAGGCUUUAUUGAGAUCUUAAUGGAAGUGGGAAGUUUUAUAUUCGGUCUUUUUAUCAUAAGAUUCGAAAUGCAACUCCUUCCACUUUCCCUUAGAAGGGCAUUUGGAAAGUUAAGGUUCCUAAAAGGGUGACUUUUUUUAUGUGGACAACAGCUCACGGUUAGAUUCUAACCUUGGAUAACCUUAUGUUUCGUAGUCACCCUUUGGCGAAUCGUUGUUGUAUGUGCUAUUGUAAUGUGGAAUCUGUGGAUCACUUGUUAUUUUUUUGUCCAAUAGCUCAUUCUUUGUAGAUGUA